rnacentral:rRNA from 1 species
GGAAUUGACGGGGCCGCACAAGCGGUGGAGCAUGUGGUUAAUUCGAAGCAACGCGAAGAACCUUACCAGGUCUUGACAUCCCGAUGCUAUUUCUAGAGAUAGAAAGUUACUUCGGUACAUCGGUGACAGGUGGUGCAUGGUUGUCGUCAGCUCGUGUCGUGAGAUGUUGGGUUAAGUCCCGCAACGAGCGCAACCCCUAUUGUUAGUUGCCAUCAUUCAGUUGGGCACUCUAGCGAGACUGCCGGUAAUAAACCGGAGGAAGGUGGGGAUGACGUCAAAUCAUCAUGCCCCUUAUGACCUGGGCUACACACGUGCUACAAUGGUUGGUACAACGAGUUGCGAGUCGGUGACGGCGAGCUAAUCUCUUAAAGCCAAUCUCAGUUCGGAUUGUAGGCUGCAACUCGCCUACAUGAAGUCGGAAUCGCUAGUAAUCGCGGAUCAGCACGCCGCGGUGAAUACGUUCCCGGGCCUU